rnacentral:lncRNA from 1 species
UAUUGUCAUUAAAUUGCAUAUGACACUUCAUUUUUUACAUGUGUUUUAAAUUGUCAAAGAGAUUGAGUGGUGCUUGUACGCGAUAAAAAUUUCAAGUCUGCAAAACGACAAGAAAAACACACGACAAAUAUAUACUAUAUAAAUUUAGAAAAAUAUGUGAGUACAAUCUCUGGGGUUUUCUCGAUCUUGUGAAGAGUUUCCCUCGAUUCUUCUCCUCGAACACCAAUCCAAGGGCUUCGCAGCUUGUUCUUGGAUCAACCACCGACUCCUUCAAAUCUUGAUAUGGA